UGGGGAAUAUUGCACAAUGGGCGCAAGCCUGAUGCAGCCAUGCCGCGUGUGUGAAGAAGGCCUUCGGGUUGUAAAGCACUUUCAGCGGGGAGGAAGGCGUUAAGGUUAAUAACCUUGGCGAUUGACGUUACCCGCAGAAGAAGCACCGGCUAACUCCGUGCCAGCAGCCGCGGUAAUACGGAGGGUGCAAGCGUUAAUCGGAAUUACUGGGCGUAAAGCGCACGCAGGCGGUUUGUUAAGUCAGAUGUGAAAUCCCCGGGCUCAACCUGGGAAUUGCAUCUGAUACUGGUAAGAUUGAGUCUCGUAGAGGGGGGUAGAAUUCCAGGUGUAGCGGUGAAAUGCGUAGAGAUCUGGAGGAAUACCGGUGGCGAAGGCGGCCCCCUGGACGAAGACUGACGCUCAGGUGCGAAAGCGUGGGGAGCAAACAGG
rnacentral:rRNA from 1 species